rnacentral:misc_RNA from 1 species
CGAAAUGCGAUAAGUAAUGUGAAUUGCAGAAUUCAGUGAAUCAUCGAAUCUUUGAACGCACCUUGCGCUCCUUGGUAUUCCUUGGAGCAUGCCUGUUUGAGUAUCAUGAAAUCUUCAAAGUAAAUCUUUUGUUAACUCAAUUGGUUUCUACUUUGGUAUUGGAGGUCUUUGCAGCUUCACACCUGCUCCUCUUUGUUCAUUAGCUGGAUCUCAGUGUUAUGCUUGGUUCCACUCGGCGUGAUAAGUUAUCUAUCGCUGAGGACACUGUAAAAGGUGGCCAAGGUAAAUGCAGAUGAACCGCUUCUAAUAGUCCAUUGACUUGGACAAUAAUUUUAUGAUCUGAUCUCAAAUCAGGUAGGACUACCCGCUGAACUUAAGC